GGUUAACAGUUUUGUCGCCGCCACCUUAACCUUUCGGACUCGACCAGAAUAACUAGUCAUCGAGGACGGGGUGCUGUAACACACCAGAGUGAUGCUGUUUGGUUUACAACCGUUGACAUCCAGAUCAGAAUCUGCUGCAGAUAAAUGUUUGGUUGCAUCUCCCGUGAGUGAACAGUUCAUUGCCUUUCCAAGAGCCACUUCCAGUUCCUCGGUAUUUAAAAAGAAUUUGGGACAUGUGCAUUGUUAUUAAGCAGGACAAAUCCAGGAUCCUAAAGUUGUCCAAGUGUUGAAAAGGUAACGGGUAUCUUGAGCUGUAAGAAUAAUUAAAAUUUGGUGUUAGGAUAUUGUUCAUCUGUUUUGGACCAGUUGUUUCAGAUUUGUGCCACAAUGCCGCGGUCCAAAGACAUUUCAGAAGACAUGCGCAGAAAGGUCAUCGAGAUUCACCAGUCUGGCAAAGGCUACAAACUUAUUGCCAAAGCUUUGGGUCUCCAGAAGUCUACGAUCCGAUCUAUCGUGCGCAAAUGGAAACGGUACGGGACAGUCUUGACCCUUCCCAGAAGUGGCCGCCCACCAAAAAUCUCUCCAACGGCAAGGCGAGAAAUCAUCCAGGAAGCCAUUAAAAACCCCUGUAUGACCGCCAGGGACUUGCAGGCCACGCUUGCUUCAUCAAACAUCCACGUUUGUGAUUCCACCAUUAGAAGAAUACUGGACGUGUAUUUAAGACCAUCUUUGAUUUAUGUCGAGGGCGGUAUGGGGUUGCCGGUGUCACAUUCAGUAAAGGAACCCAACGUUACGGCUACAGCUGGAUCAAAUCAAGAUGUAAAGCUGGAAGGGAUUAGUGACUCUGAAAGUAACACUGAUCAUACUGAUGCCAGGCCAGAUAAUGGUGACAGAAACGAAGCCGGUUUGCACACGGAUAGUGGUGGACAGAAUAAGAAGCGUUAAUACAUUUUCAUUUAAACAUUUAUAGUCAGGUUGGGUAGUAUUGUACAAAAUAUGUGUAACUACACUGCUGAGCUUAAUCUACUUUUUUUUUUACAAUGUUAAGCACCUCUAAGGUUAACACAACAAUGUGGUUAGUAUUGUUUGUCAGUGAUAUUGAUUAGGCCAGGUUCACCAGGUUUUGCAUGCUGAUUUUAUUCAGAACAGAAGCAAAACUGUUGAAUUUUUGUGAACCGAAAUAUGGCUUUGAUUGGAAUGUAAAUAACAUGGCUCUCUCUACUGCUAGCUGGUAGUUUACACCAAACUCCACAUUAAACAGGUGGUUGUUUUACAUCUAAAUGCUCAUAACUAUCUCAGAAAAAUACCAAAAAUGUCAUUAGUUCUGUCAUUGAUGAUUAUAGACUGUUAUAUCAGUGAUAUCCUAGUGUAGCAUUAAAAGAUUUUUGUUUGUAGCAUCUUUAGCGUUCUACUUUAAGUGCAUGUGUAAUUAUUGAAAGAUUUGGAGGAAAAAUGUUUACUUGAAAUUUUUCUUUCUCUGAUUUUUUCUUUCUCUCUUUUCUGAUGGUUUAAUCGAUUUAUUUGGUAGUUUCAGUGUUAAAAGUAUUUAAAUGUGCGAGUUUUUUGUGUAAGACAAAUCUCUGAAGACUGUUGCCUUAUGUUUUGUUGUUCAGAAGGAGUAAAAUCGCAGGUUUGGGACUAAACAAUUGUUAUAGUUAUUUGUUAUGGCCUUUCAGAUCUGGAUCGGUCAGUGUUUUACAAUACAUAGUCCGGUCUUAAAUAUAAAUAUUGUGUAUUUGUUGUUCUUGAAUGUACUGACCACUGAGGUGAAGUAACAGUAACUGACUUCUGUUUCUAAAGCAGAAAUAGAUUAAUGCUUCUUUCUAUUCAUAUACAACAUGCUAAUGUUCUGCACAUCAGUAAAGUGUUUUUUUUCUUAUGCAUAUAAAACAGCAAGUUUUGUUCCGUCUUGUUUAGUGUGUAUGUUUUACUUUUACAUAUAUGCUGGUAAAAAUGACUGAUCCUGGAUCGGGUCAUCUAGAUGAUCAUAAUCUUUAAUAAGUAUAUUUCUUUUAUAGUUUUUGUGGUUUGUUAAAAAAAACUGCUAAUGGUAUCCACAGUUAAGUUUAUGUUAUAAAGAGAACAAUAAAAUUCUAAAAUCAUU